rnacentral:rRNA from 1 species
UACGUAGGGGGCUAGCGUUGUCCAGAAUCAUUGGGCGUAAAGAGCGUGUAGGCGGUCCGGUAAGUCCGCUGUGAAAGUCGGGGGCUCAACCCUCGAAUGCCGGUGGAUACUGUCGGGCUAGAGUGCGGAAGAGGCGAGUGGAAUUCCUGGUGUAGCGGUGAAAUGCGCAGAUAUCAGGAGGAACACCGGUGGCGAAGGCGGCAUCCUGGACCGGCAUUGACGCUGAGGCGCGAAAGCUAGGGGAGCAAACAGG